CCUACGGGAGGCAGCAGUGAGGAAUAUUGGUCAAUGGGCGCAAGCCUGAACCAGCCAAGUCGCGUGAGGGAUGACGGUCCUAUGGAUUGUAAACCUCUUUUGUCGGGGAGCAAGGCCCGCCACGUGUGGCGGGAAGGAGAGUACCCGAAGAAAAAGCAUCGGCUAACUCCGUGCCAGCAGCCGCGGUAAUACGGAGGAUGCGAGCGUUAUCCGGAUUUCUUGGGUUUAAGGGGUGCGUAGGCGGAAGGUUAAGUCAGCGGUCAAAUGUCGGGGCGCAACACCGGCCUGCCGUUGAAACGGGUCUUCUUGAGUGAGCGAGAAGUAUGCGGAAGGCGUGGUGUAGGGGUGAAAUGCAUGAAUAUC
rnacentral:rRNA from 1 species